rnacentral:tRNA from 1 species
AUUCAUAUAGUUUAAACAAAACCUUACAUUUUCAUUGUAAAAUUGAAACAAAAGUUUCUAUGAAUA